rnacentral:rRNA from 1 species
AGCAGCCGCGGUAAUUCCAGCUCCAAUAGCGUAUAUUAAAGUUGUUGCAGUUAAAAAAGCUCGUAGUUGAAUUUCGGGAUCAGUACGCCGGUCGUGCCUUCGGUAUGCACUGGUGUCACUGGUUUCUCCCUUCUGAAGAACCAUCAUGCCAUUCAGUUGGUGUGGCGGGGAAUCAGGACUGUUUACUUUAGAAAAAAUUAGAG